UACAGAGGUCUCAAGCGUUGUUCGGAUUCAUUGGGCGUAAAGGGUGCGUAGGUGGCGAAGUAAGUCGGGUGUGAAAUCUCGGGGCUUAACUCCGAAACUGCAUUCGAUACUACCGUGCUUGAGGACUGGAGAGGAGACUGGAAUUUACGGUGUAGCGGUGAAAUGCGUAGAUAUCGUAAGGAAGACCAGUGGCGAAGGCGGGUCUCUGGACAGUUCCUGACGCUGAGGCACGAAGGUCAGGGGAGCAAACGGG
rnacentral:rRNA from 1 species